AGCCACAUGAAUAUAUAUUUGGUUUUUCCUGCCCGGUGAUAAUUAAACGGCCGCAGUACUUUGACUGUGCUAAGGUAGCAUAAUCAAUUGACUUUUAAUUGAAGUCUGGAAUGAAUGGGAUCAUGGGGGGUGACUGUCUUAAAGAGAAUUUUCAUAAAUUAUUUCUAAGGUGAAAAUACCUUAAUUUAUAAAAAAGACGAGAAGACCCUUAGAGUUUUUUUGUUGGGGUGACAAAUAAACUAACUUUAUUUUGUGAAAGACUAAACUACCUUAGGGAUAACAGCAUAAUCUUUUUUAAGGAUUGUGACCUCGAUGUUGGACUAGGAGUUUUAUAGUAAGAAACUAAAAAAAUAAGUUCUGUUCGAACAUUAUCUCCU
rnacentral:rRNA from 1 species